rfam:Thermodesulfovibrio sp. RBG_19FT_COMBO_42_12 rbg_19ft_combo_scaffold_3389, whole genome shotgun sequence.
AUAUAAGGCUUAGCCCUUGGGCGAGUUGGCACAACACAACAAAGCCCGCAGGUUCAAGGGGUAGGGUAAAU